rnacentral:rRNA from 1 species
AGGAAUAUUGGUCAAUGGGCGAGAGCCUGAACCAGCCAAGUAGCGUGCAGGAUGACGGCCCUAUGGGUUGUAAACUGCUUUUAUAAGGGAAUAAAGUGAGAGUCGUGACUCUUUUUGCAUGUACCUUAUGAAUAAGGACCGGCUAAUUCCGUGCCAGCAGCCGCGGUAAUACGGAAGGUCCGGGCGUUAUCCGGAUUUAUUGGGUUUAAAGGGAGCGUAGGCCGGAGAUUAAGCGUGUUGUGAAAUGUAGACGCUCAACGUCUGCACUGCAGCGCGAACUGGUUUCCUUGAGUACGCACAAAGUGGGCGGAAUUCGUGGUGUAGCGGUGAAAUGCUUAGAUAUCACGAAGAACUCCGAUUGCGAAGGCAGCUCACUGGAGCGCAACUGACGCUGAAGCUCGAAAGUGCGGGUAUCGAACGGGAUUAGAUACCCUGGUAGUCCACGCCGUAAACGGUGGAUGCCCGCUGUUGGUCUGAACAGGUCAGCGGCCAAGCGAAAGCAUUAAGCAUCCCACCUGGGGAGUACGCCGGCAACGGUGAAACUCAAAGGAAUUGACGGGGGCCCGCACAAGCGGAGGAACAUGUGGUUUAAUUCGAUGAUACGCGAGGAACCUUACCCGGGCUUGAAUUGCAGAGGAAGGAUUUGGAGACAAUGACGCCCUUCGGGGUCUCUGUGAAGGUGCUGCAUGGUUGUCGUCAGCUCGUGCCGUGAGGUGUCGGCUUAAGUGCCAUAACGAGCGCAACCCCUCUCCUUAGUUGCCAUCAGGUCAAGCUGGGCACUCUGGGGACACUGCCACCGUAAGGUGUGAGGAAGGUGGGGAUGACGUCAAAUCAGCACGGCCCUUACGUCCGGGGCUACACACGUGUUACAAUGGCAGGUACAGAGAGACGGUCCCUUGCAAAAUGGAUCAAAUCCUUAAAGCCUGUCUCAGUUCGGACUGGGGUCUGCAACCCGACCCCACGAAGCUGGAUUCGCUAGUAAUCGCGCAUCAGCCAUGGCGCGGUGAAUACGUUCCCG